UACAGAGGUCUCAAGCGUUGUUCGGAUUCAUUGGGCGUAAAGGGUGCGUAGGCGGCGCGGUAAGUCGGGUGUGAAAUCUUGGAGCUUAACUCCGAAACUGCAUUCGAUACUGCCGCGCUUGAGGACUGGAGAGGAGACUGGAAUUUACGGUGUAGCGGUGAAAUGCGUAGAUAUCGUAAGGAAGACCAGUGGCGAAGGCGGGUCUCUGGACAGUUCCUGACACUGAGACACGAAGGCCAGGGGAGCAAACGGG
rnacentral:rRNA from 1 species